GGAUUGAGACAUUUGGACCAACCGUGAGUGAUCAACCAUUGGAGCAAGCUAUGGAGCUUGAAUAGCUCAUUGGAAUUGGUGUAUAUUUGUAAAAGUGGAUUGCUGAAACUGUUGGUGAAGAACAAAGGUCGACUGAAGCAUUGAGGUAAGGAUGCUGCAGGAGCCUCUGGUGGCAAGUGGCCAUAUCUGGAUUAUGCAUGAAAUGUGGCAUUUCUUUUGAGAUUAUACAUGUUGUUUUGUAGCUCACAUGUAUAGAAUUGUAAUGAAUAGGCAAUG